rnacentral:rRNA from 1 species
UACGGGGGGGGCAAGCGUUGUUCGGAAUUACUGGGCGUAAAGGGCUCGUAGGCGGCCAACUAAGUCAGACGUGAAAUCCCUCGGCUUAACCGGGGAACUGCGUCUGAUACUGGAUGGCUAGAGGUUGGGAGAGGGAUGCGGAAUUCCAGGUGUAGCGGUGAAAUGCGUAGAUAUCUAGAGGAACACCGGUGGCGAAGGCGGCAUCCUGGACCAAUUCUGACGCUGAGGAGCGAAAGCCAGGGGAGCAAACGGG